GACGAACGCUGGCGGCGUGCCUAACACAUGCAAGUCGAACGAAACCUUCGGGUCUUGUGGCGCACGGGUGCGGAACACGGGGGAACCUGCCCUUAGGUACGGGAUCACUCCCUGAGGGGGAUGUUAAGACAGGGGGGUGUAUUCGGACCAAGGAUUUGGCGGUUUUGGAUGGGCUGGGGGUGUUUUAGCUUGUUGGUAGGGUAGUGGCUUACCAAGGCGUUGAUCGGUAGCCGGCCUGAGGGGGUGACUGGCCAGAUUGGGACUGAGAUACGGCCCAGACUCCUACGGGAGGCAGCAGUGGGGAAUAUUGCACAAUGGGCGGAAGCCUGAUGCAGCAACGCCGCGUGCGGGAUGACGGCCUUCGGGUUGUAAACCGCUUUCGCCUGUGACGAAGCGUGAGUGACGGUAAUGGGUAAAGAAGCACCGGCUAACUACGUG
rnacentral:rRNA from 1 species